rnacentral:rRNA from 1 species
CAGAGGUGGCAAGCGUUGUUCGGAAUUACUGGGCGUAAAGGGCGCGUAGGCGGCCUUCUAAGUCAGACGUGAAAUCCCCAGGCUUAACUUGGGAACUGCGUCUGAUACUGGAGGGCUCGAGUGCGGGAGAGGGAUGUGGAAUUCCAGGUGUAGCGGUGAAAUGCGUAGAUAUUUGGAGGAACACCGGUGGCGAAGGCGGCAUCCUGGACCGACACUGACGCUGAGGCGCGAAAGCUAGGGGAGCAAACGGGAUUAGAUACCCCGGUAGUCCUAGCCCUAAACGAUGAGUGCUUGGUGUGGCGGGUAUCGAUCCCUGCCGUGCCGAAGCUAACGCAUUAAGCACUCCACCUGGGGAGUACGGUCGCAAGGCUG